GCGCCCGUAGCUCAGAUGGAUAGAGCGUCGGACUACGAAUCCGCAGGUCGGAGGUUCGAAUCCUCUCGGGCGCGCCA
rnacentral:tRNA from 1 species